UACCUUUUUUUUCUGCGUCAGAGUUCCCUGUGACGUCAGUUGAAAGAGCAAUUCCACUAGUGAUGCCGCGUUCAAACCAACUGGGACCUCAGACCUGGGACCUCAAACCAACUGGGACCUCGGAAAUCUCCGAUUUCAGUGCGUUCACGACAUCUGCCCCCCCCCCCGAGUUUCCAGUUGUCUUUAAAGUACCAUGAGACAGCAAACCCCUCGGUGACCGCCAGAAUGAGUGAUCACCCAUCAUCAAGUGUAAAUCCGUAGACUACUGAUUCGGGAUUCUAUCACCGCAUAUACUGUAAUAUGAGUUCAUAAAUAAAUGUCGAAUAUAUAUAUAUAUUUGAGAUAUUUUCACUAUUUUGUAGCUAGAGGUCGCUGCAUCAUCUUUGUUCCGUUAAUGAGGCGCUGUCUGAUCUGGAGCCGCAAAAACAGGAUGACAAUUCAGAUUACCUUGGUGACAGCCAUUAGUAACUGACGGAUUAUGGAACAAGAAGUUUUGGCCCAACAUCACAGGGCUGGAUAGAUGGAUAGCUCAGACCUGGCUAGAUGUAGUGACAGACAACCUUGGUGAGAAGAAGCAUGGUGUGGAGUCAGCUGUACGAGGUGGCAACAUGCAUCUGUGUGCCUGACAGACAUAUCAGCUUGGAUGUCAUCCCACCACCUCAAGCUCAACAAGACAGAGCUGCUCUUCCUCCCAGUCAAAGCCCGCCCGCUCCAAGACCGCUCCAUCACAGUUGACAACUCCAUGGUGUCCCUCUCCCAGAGUUCAAAAAGCCUUGGUGAGACCCCUGCAAACAUCAAAGCAGUGACCCACUCCUGCAGGUUCAGGCUCUACAACAGCUAUUCUCAAACUGGGGUACACGCAAGGUCGUCAGGGGUACGCCAAAUAAAAUUUUACAUUUUCUCCCAGGG